rnacentral:rRNA from 1 species
UGGGGAAUUUUGGACAAUGGGCGCAAGCCUGAUCCAGCCAUGCCGCGUGCGGGAAGAAGGCCUUCGGGUUGUAAACCGCUUUUGUCAGGGAAGAAAUCUUCUGAGUUAAUACCUCGGGAGGAUGACGGUACCUGAAGAAUAAGCACCGGCUACUACUGCCAGCAGCCGCGGUAAUACGUAGGUGCAAGCGUUAAUCGGAAUUACUGGGCGUAAAGCGUGCGCAGGCGGUUUUGUAAGACAGAGGUGAAAUCCCCGGGCUCAACCUGGGAACUGCCUUUGUGACUCAAGGCUUGAGUGCGGCAGAGGGGGAUGGAAUUCCGCGUGUAGCAGUGAAAUGCGUAGAUAUGCGGAGGAACACCGAUGGCGAAGGCAAUCCCCUGGGCCUGCACUGACGCUCAU